rnacentral:rRNA from 1 species
GACGAACGCUGGCGGCGCGCCUAACACAUGCAAGUCGAGCGAGAACCAGGACUUCGGUCCUGGGGACAGCGGCGAACGGGUGAGUAACACGUGGAUAACCUGCCCUCGGCACCGGAAUAGCCCGGGGAAACUCGGAUUAAUGCCGGAUAGCCCCACAUCCCUGCGGGGAACGUGGGAAAAGGUAGCUUCGGCCUCUGGCCGGGGAUGGGUCCGUGGUGGAUUAGCUUGUUGGCGGGGUAAUGGCCCACCAAGGCGACGAUCCAUAGCUGGUCUGAGAGGACGAUCAGCCACACUGGGACUGAGACACGGCCCAGACUCCUACGGGAGGCAGCAGUGGGAAUCUUGCGCAAUGGGCGAAAGCCUGACGCAGCGACGCCGCGUGCGGGAAGAAGGCCUUCGGGUUGUAAACCGCUUUCAGGGGGGACGAAGCCACUCGGGUGAAUAGCCCAGAGGGUGACGGUACCUCCAGAAGAAGCCCCGGCUAACUACGUGCCAGCCGCCGCCGUAA